AUGUCUUUUUGUCUUGUCUUAAAGGCAUUUUACAAGCCCUCUCUGGUCAUUUCUAUCUCUCUCUAUAUAUAGAAGGCCAUAACAAACAUUCACAUAAACUUGAAUACUCCAAUUAACUUCAAGAUGAUGCAAGAUGUUUGGACUCAGUUGGGUCCAACCAUUGCAGCAAUCAUGUUCACCUGGACCAUGUACCAGAACUACUUCCCUCACGAACUUCGUGGUCAUAUUAGGAGGUAUACCGAUAAACUUGUGAGCUAUUUCUAUCCUUAUAUGCACAUUAUCUUUUAUGAACUUGAAACUGAAGGGUGGUUUGAGCGGAGCAAAGCUUACGUAGCGAUUGAAAGGUACCUUAGCAAGAACUCGAGCACACAAGCUAAGCGUCUCAAAGCCAACGCGGUGAAGGAUGGUCAAUCGCUUGUUCUAACCAUGGAUGAUCAUGAGGAGAUAACCGAUGAAUAUAAAGGGAAGAAGGUUUGGUGGAUAUCGAGCCAAAAACCAGCCAACAGACAGACAAUAUCUUUUUAUAGGGAGGAUGAGAAGAGGUAUUUCAAGCUAAAAUUUCACAAAAAGAAUCGCGACCUUAUCACAAAUUCAUACUUGAAGUAUGUGUUGGAUGAAGGAAAGGCGAUAUCUGUGAAAGAACGACAGAGAAAGCUGUACACAAACAAUAAGGGAGAUGGAGGUGGUUAUAGAUACAGGGGAGGAAGGAUGUGGAGUGGAGUAGUAUUUGAGCAUCCAUCAACAUUUGAUACUCUAGCUAUGGAUCCAAACAAGAAGCAAGAGAUUAUAGAUGAUCUCGAAACAUUUAGCAAGUCAAAAGACUACUAUGCAAAGAUUGGCAAGGCGUGGAAGCGUGGUUAUCUUCUUUAUGGUCCUCCAGGAACCGGUAAAUCUAGCAUGAUUGCUGCUAUGGCUAAUUUCUUGAAGUAUGACGUCUAUGAUCUUGAGCUGACAUCGGUUAAGGACAAUACCGAGCUAAGAAAACUGCUGAUAGAUACAACAGGUAAAUCUAUUAUUGUGAUUGAAGAUAUAGAUUGCUCUCUUGACCUUACAGGUCAACGAGAGACGAAUAAGAAGAAGAAAGAAGAGGAAGAUAAAGGAAAAAAUGAGGAAGAUGCCGUCAAGGAGAAGAUGAAAAAAGGAGGAGAGGUGAAAGAAAAACAAAGUGAGGUAACUUUAUCUGGACUUUUGAACUUCAUUGAUGGUCUAUGGUCAGCUAUUGGCGGUGAAAGGCUUGUCAUCUUCACUACCAACUAUAUGGAGAAGCUUGAUCCUGCUCUAAUUAGGAGGGGGAGGAUGGAUAAACAUAUUGUCCUAUCCUACUGUUGCUUUGAGUCAUUCAAAGUUCUUGCACAUAACUAUCUUGACGUCGUUGAAUCUCAUGUUCACUUUCCUGAGAUUCGUCGUUUAUUGGAGGAAACUAAUAUGACUCCUGCUGAUGUUGCUGAGAAUUUGAUGCCUAAGUCUUCAAAGGAAAAUGCAGACACUUGUUUGGAGAGAUUGAUUAAAGCUCUUGAAACUGCAAAAGAGGAAGCGAAAUUGAAGGCUGAGGAAGAAGAGAAAGCAAAGGCAGCUGAAAAGGAGAAGGAAGAGAAAGAUCGCGAGGAAAAGAAAGAAGUAACAGCUACUGAAGAAGCUAAGAAUGCUGACGUUGUAAACGAAAAAGAUAAUGGUGUUAAGGAAAAUGGUGAUGUUAACAAAGAUUGAUGAAUACACAUAUAUGAAAGUGUACUUAGGGGUGUUUUAGCUUUUAUGUUUUCUACAAUACUGGGUCUAUUAGCUGUACUUGUAAUAAGUUUAUUUUAUGUCUUAGUGGUGCUUGAAUACACAUAAUUCUGCCAGUAGUUUUCAUGUAGUUGGUGAAGGUUAAUAAGAAGUUUUUU